UACGGGGGGGGCAAGCGUUGUUCGGAAUUACUGGGCGUAAAGGGCUCGUAGGCGGCCAACUAAGUCAGACGUGAAAUCCCUCGGCUUAACCGGGGAACUGCGUCUGAUACUGGAUGGCUUGAAUCCGGGAGAGGGAAGUGGAAUUCCCGGUGUAGUGGUGAAAUGCGUAGAUAUCGGGAGGAACACCAGUGGCGAAGGCGACUUCCUGGCCUGUUCUUGACGCUGAGGCGCGAAAGCUAGGGUAGCAAACGGG
rnacentral:rRNA from 1 species